rnacentral:rRNA from 1 species
CGCAUCUGUGCAUGCAGCAUAUCAAUAAGCGGAGGAAAAGAAACUAACAAGGAUUCCCUUAGUAACGGCGAGUGAAGCGGGAAGAGCUCAAAUUUGAAAUCUUCAAGGUUCUACCUUGACGAAUUGUAGUUUAAAGAAGUGUUUUCUGUUGAAGUUUUGGUAAAAGUUCUUUGGAAUAGGACAUCAUAGAGGGUGAGAAUCCCGUAUUUGACCAUUAUUUUCAGCUGUGUGAUACACUUUCAAAGAGUCGGAUUGUUUGGGAAUGCAGUCCAAAAUGGGUGGUAAAUUUCAUCUAAAGCUAAAUAUUGGCGAGAGACCGAUAGCGAACAAGUACCGUGAGGGAAAGAUGAAAAGAACUUUGAAAAGAGAGUUAAACAGUACGUGAAAUUGUCAAAAGGGAAGCGUUUGACACCAGUGUUGUUUUCUCGAAAAUCAAUUAAAAGAGUUAGAUUUUGUUGUGUAUUGACCUUAACAGCUUGCAUUUCAAUUUUCUUGCUUUUUUUAAUGCACUUUUCGUUUAACAAGUCAACAUCAGUUUCUUUUGUUGUAAAAAGGUCAUUGGAAGGUGGCUUUCUUUUCGGAGAAAGUGUUUAUAGCCUUUGACUCCUGCAAUCGGAGAGACUGAGGUCUGCAGCGUAGAUCCUUCGGGGUUAGAUACAUUUGUGCUAAGUUAUAGCUUUUUAUAGACAACUUGUUGACUAUGAUUAGUCUUGUAGCUUACUCGCUUAUGCUAUUUUACCUACGCUUAGGAUGUUGAUCUGUAGUGCGUGCGC